rnacentral:piRNA from 1 species
UGCAUUUUAUUAGAAUAAAGAGUGCUGUGGG